rnacentral:pre_miRNA from 14 species
GUUCCUGAAACAAGUAAUCAAGAAUAGGCCGUGCAGUGUUAACCAGCCUAUCCUGGAUUACUUGAACCAGGCAG